UGGGGAAUUGUUCACAAUGGGCGCAAGCCUGAUGACGCAACGCCGCGUGGGGGAUGAAGGUCUUCGGAUUGUAAACCCCUGUCUAAUGGGACGAAAGACUCGCGAGUGAAUCCUUCGCGAGAGUGACGGUACCGUUAAAGGAAGCCACGGCUAACUCUGUGCCAGCAGCCGCGGUAAUACAGAGGUGGCAAGCGUUGUUCGGAAUUACUGGGCGUAAAGGGCGCGUAGGCGGCCAUCUAAGUCAGACGUGAAAUCCCCCGGCUUAACCUGGGAACUGCGUCUGAUACUGGACGGCUUGAGUAUGGGAGAGGGAUGUAGAAUUCCAGGUGUAGCGGUGAAAUGCGUAGAUAUCUGGAGGAAUACCGGUGGCGAAGGCGGCAUCCUGGACCAUUACUGACGCUGAGGCGCGAAAGCUAGGGGAGCAAAC
rnacentral:rRNA from 1 species